GCUGUUUGGUUCUUGGUCAGGUAUUUCGAGUGCAUAAUUAGAUCAAUAUUUGCUCGUUCAUUUGAUUUUGGUUCAAUCUUAGUUUCAAGUUGCGUCAGUGGAAUUCAUCAAUUCGUGCCAUGAAUAGUCAUUAUUUGGCCAUCAAGUCAUAAUAUGUGCACUGAUUGUUUCUCUUGUUUUACAAUUUUUAAAACCAACUUUUUAAGUUUAGAGUUGAUUCGGGAGUUAGAUUUGGC
rnacentral:lncRNA from 1 species